ensembl:lncRNA
CGGCGAUCCUCGCGCCAGGGUCGUACGUCCGACCUUCUGACCCCAGCGUGCGCUAGGAGGGCCCGACCCGUUUGCGGUCUGCGCCUGCGCAGGAGUUCGAUCGGUAUUUGGAAUUGAUGUGGUGCUGGCACUUAAUUCCAAAGAUAGGAUGGCUAUUUUUCAGUUUUUGUGGUCUUGUAGGGGUGUGAGAAUUGGUGCUCCACAGAAGCCACCAGCCAUUCUGACUUCUGCAGGAAACAUGCCCUGAGACUGUGAGACCACUCAUACCAUCUAAGACAAGUCAUUCCUCCAAGUUCACCAGCACCCUUGCUUAGGAAAGGAACGUAAGAGUCACCAUUGAAGCUUUGUUACAGAGCAGCUGAACACCAGCCAACGUGGCAUGGGUCACACAUCGUCUUCAUUCACAAGCAUUCACAGCUGGGAAGUUGAAACUAUGAGCCUUGCUAUCUUCAGCCUAUAUGUCCAUAAAUUGCUGCUGAGCCACUCUAUCAGGAUAUUUCAAAGACUGGUGUUGGUCCCCCAAGGGACAGCAUCAAAUCUAGCUGAUGUUUUCAACAUUUGAUUAUGUGAAUGGGAUGUAUUUCCACCUUAUUGGUGGGGUCCAGUUUUUCCUCAUUUUGCUUAAUGAAGGGAUGGCUGAAUGUAUGAAUCUUACUCAAAAGCCUGAGGGCAUGGAGCAGUGCUCCUUUGUAAGCUGUCUUCCAGCUAAAAUGCUGGAAUAAUUCCACCAGGUAGUUCUUCUUAAUGCCUGUCUCACAACAGAGAAUGCACAACUAAAAUUGGAUUCUUAUUCCUUCAGUGCUUUAAAAACUUAAAGAAUUUUCUAUGCCUGCCUUACAUUUAAGAUUUGAUUCCUUGGCCUGCUUCUAGUUUGCCUGAAGAUGCUUGCUGAUUUAAACCUCUAAGAAGCUUUUCAGUCCCUUUUGACAGGCUCCUGUAUGCAUCUAUUCAUAAACUUUGACUUCAAAAUGAUAAUUGGGACCAGUGUGGAGCAGCACAUAUCCUACAAAUCUUGAUGACACUCGUUUGCCUUCAGCCCAGAGGCAUCCCAGGGAUAAACCUGAAGAUCAGAGAUUACAUUCUCUACCAUCAUUCCUAAAAUUGCCAGUAUCCCUUGUAAAUAUAGUACUCUUCUCUCCAAUUGUACAUUUAAAUAAGAUAUCAGUUAGGAGUCAGAAGCACAGGAGAAUAUCCCAGGAUUUGUUCUUUGUGGCAUAGGAAAGCCUUCAGGGUCUGCAAGUAGGUCCUUUCGCUCAGUGUGUUUGCAAAAGCAGGAAUUCUUACACACACACACACACACACACACACACACACACACGGUUCUUAGCAAUGCUGACGCCACUCUGGGAGGGUUUACAUGGGAAGGAAAGGAAAAGACAGGGAACAGAAGAUGGAGGGAUGGAGAAAGAAGGAAGAAAGGAUGACAGAGAUAGGCAGACAAGGACAUUCUUUUCUCCCAGGUCACCCUCCAUUGGUAGAGACCUAACAUUGCCUGGAACAGUUCCUCAACGUGGCGCUCCUGAUGUGCUUUGGGAGGGUAGGAGUAGAGCAGCAUCCCUAGCUUCUACUUACCGGAUGCCAGGACACUCAUUGCCCCACCCUCAAGUGGUGACAAUCAAAAACAUCUUUAGAUAUCACCAGAUGCAACUUGGGGGACAUGCAG